UUUCAGCUUUUUUUGAACUAUUUAUAGACAUUUUAAUUUUUGUAGUUUUACACGUAAUUUGUAUUCGUUAGGUACCUAUUCUGUGGUAAAAUUAUCAGACUAAGCAGAAAUGCUUGAAAAUUAAACAGGAGGUUCAUUAAUUGUCACGCUUUAUGGUUGAAACAAAAAAAAAAUGAGUUUAAUGUAAUUUUUUUUAUAAGAAUUUUUAUUUUAAAUUUGAUGAAAAUCGUUUUAAUAAAAAAUUAUAUGAAAAAAAUCUAGUUACUGG